CGAAUACCCGCCUCAACCUAAAAGCUUGAGUCUGGUCAAACUCACAUUGAGGUUUGGUUCAAGUGUGUCCAGGAAUUUCUUGGACAUUUAAUUGACCACAAGUGGGUGUGAAACAUGAAUAAAGUUAUAGUCUACAUGAAUAUCAUUAUAGCUAACCGCCGCAGCAGCAUGGAUUGUUACUAGUAGAAAGAAUUAGCCCCUGACAGAAGGCGACGUAGGAAAAUCAUGGAGAGAGUUGUAAGGAUGUGAUACUAGAACUCUCCAGACUAGCAACAGGACCUUUGGAACACCUUGUCGAAAUUAACAGCCUAAAUGCUCAUUUAUGUGAAUGUGACCGUCGACCAUGGUUUCAUGGCCCUCUAGCUCUGUGCAAUGAUGGCUUCAAGCUCAGUGUUUUUCUCGUAGGCUUUCAACUCCUAGCCUUAAUUGAUACACUGUCUGAUAUAGCCCUCUGUGUAUGUUCUGUCCCUAACAUGUACUAGACUCGCAAGCCACUCCCUUUUCUCUGAUUGGACGGGGGCGGGAGAAAAGGGACUGGUGACUCUGGGCUACAGCUUGUGUAAAUCAGGAAUGCUAUUAAAUAUUAAUGUCACGUGCAAAUUAUCCAAUUUAUUCUGAUGCGUCAAAAGUUAAAGACACACAGAAGACAAGUAUACAGAUCUAUCUAGCCAGCCUUUUGAUUUUAUAGAUCCUUGUACCAGUGUCUGUUGUGCCACAACUUGUGGAUUAGCAUGGAACAGCUGAUGAACAUAGAAAUCUUGGCAGUCCUUCUUUGAACCGAGGAGUGGCAGCGAUUUAAGACAGCUUGUACAAGUCUGACUACUCUCAAUUCAACUGCUGCCGUCUGCCAUUAUCUGUCUUGUAUUGUACAGGUUAUUAAAAGCUUUAGGCAACCAAUGACUUUCGGCUGCCAGUUCUCAUCACGUAAAACUAAAACAAGCUAAUCUCUGCUGGUGUCUUAGAUGACUAUAUCCUAGCUGAAUGCCUGAUGAUGUUAUUACUCCAUCAUCUUCUCUUUUCUAGCACUAGCAUCCAUUCUUAAACUGUAGCUAAGAAGCCUGCGAUCACUUUUGCAGGCUACGCAAUUCUACUUAACCUCACGCAAUUUUUGGAUCACGUGGAAAAAUCAAUGAAUAAUCUCUACCCAAAUUCUGGUAGAGACACAAAAUGUGUCCCAGAGUCACCAGUCCCUUUUCUCCCGCCCCCGUCCAAUCAGAGAAAAGGGAGUGGCUUGCGAGUCUAAACAUGUACAUGCGAUGGCUUGUGGCUUUAUCACUAUGCUUGUGGGCGUGUAGUCCACUUGACUUUGCUGACUGUGCAGAACAAAGUUCAUAUGUGAGUUUGACCAGACUUAGGUUGAGGCGGGUAUUCGAGACUAGCCUCCUAGAGCUGCACAGCUCUAUACUGUACUAUGAGUAUAUUGGUACCAGGACUUCAGUGAGCAAGGUGCAGGUACUACCUGCACCUUGCUCACCGUACAGGUGCAUGGACAUUCAACAGACUCCCAUUGUUACCAAACAGCCAUUCACUCGGAUCUAAGAAACAAAGGCAACAAAGUUUGCAGCUUUAAAGCAAGUACUUCUUAGGAGCUAGCAACAGCUUCUGCCCCUGUCAAGAGAGGUGAACCAACUAUCAUCAUAUUCGUAGUGGGAGGGAUGACCUACUCUGAGAUGAGGGCGGCACGAGGCCUCCGCUGCCACCAACUGUGAGGUCAUCAUUGGCUCCACCCACAUUGUCACUCCCACUCGCUUCAUGGAUCAACUGAAGGACCUGCAACCUCUCGUGGCCACAUAGAUACUUGGGACAGUUAUUAGCUCUAUCUUAUAAAUAUAGUGUAUGUGUACAUGCGAUUGUACAGACACAAACUAUUGACUAUCAGAAAGAAUAUUUUAAGCAUGCAUGUGUGUUUUGCAAUUUUCAUUACUUCAUGCUAUAAAGAUAUGCUGUA